AUGGAGAGAAAAAGGAUAAAUUUCCAGAACUAUGGUCCCUGUGCUCCAGUUCGUCAGGCGGGCGCGGCGGAGACGGAGACCGAGGAACGCCGCUGGGGCCAUGCGGCGCUACCGCGCGUGGUGGCUCUGUGUCUGGCCUGAGGCUUCUGCUCGCUCCUUUACGCCUUCAGCCAGCUCCCCGUGUCCCCGGAGGAAGGAGCGGGCCGUGGUGGCGGGAAGCCGCAGGCCGCAGUGGCUUCCUGGCUGGCGGGAGGCGGAUGCGGUGCGGUGAGAGGCGCGAGCAGCGCUUGUCCCGCUGCUCAUCCCCGCAGGUGGGACAGGUGUAGUCUGAAAAUACAGCCUGUUGAGAAAAUGUAUCUAGGUGAAAGACUGGAAGAAACUAUGACCAUGUUGAAGUCAGCUAUUAUUUUCAGGAUCAAACCUCUUCAAUUCCAGAUUUUUGCUGAAGAUCAACUACAUCAUAGCUUUAAAGGAAGGCUUGACAGGGGUCAUUUCUACAAAUAUUUAAUUAUACAAUAUACUCCAUAACCUUUCCAAGUGAGAAUGCAGCAGAGUGGAAAAACUCUUUAAACCAUGUGGUUUGCAGAGAUUGUCCUUGCCGUUAUUCCUGAAAGAAGUUGACUCUCACACUGAUAGCCUUUUUAAAAGACCAGCUGAUAAUAUUUGGUCUUUACUAAAGAAAUUUAAUUCCACACAAAUUCUGCAAUGGCCCCAGAACACAAGGAAUGUCAAAUAGGAUGGUAUAGUCGCUUUGCUAGGCAUCCAUAGUGUGGAAAAGCUGGAGUAAACUCUGGAGUUAUGUUGACAAACAUGACUUGAAUGAGAAGGAAGUAUUUCAAGAAUAAUAUGACAACUGUGUGACUACAAUGAGGAGAUAUACUUAUGACAUGGCUUAAAAUAUACAAGUUAAACAUUACAUGGGCGAUCAAGAUCUGUUGGAUAUCCUGUUUUUUCAUAAUCCAGAAAGCCUUUUUGUCUUUCCGUGUCAAUGGAAGUGUCGUCCAGAUCACUGUCUAUAUGGAAGCAGUUGCCAAGAAGCAGAAGAAGGAAUCUUUAUUUUUCACGGGAACAGAGGUGUUUACCAUGAUGAUAAGCAACCAGCAUUUAGAGCUGUUUAUGAAGCACUGAGAAAUUGUUCUUUUAAGAUGACAAUGUUCAUUCAUUAAUAAAACCUUUAGAAUUGGAACUACAAAAAAUAGUGCAUACAUACCGUGGAAAAAUUUACUAAAUAUUUAUCAAACAAUUAGCAAAAACAUAAGAGAUCGCUAUGUCAGAUCACCAAAGGAAAGGUGAUUCUUGUUGCCUGCUACAUCAAAUGGAUGAAAAGAACAAAGCAUUGGAGGAUAAGUAUGAAGGAACUGUCUUGGGUGAAGCAUUAAGGCAGGAAUUAUUCAUCUACAGAAUUUUUUUUUUUCCUGAAGAGGUUAAAUGAGCAGUAUUUUCAGGUAAUGAAGAAUAAGUUAAAAUCUUGGGCUUCAACAAAGAAAAAUUUUUGGCCUCUGAUGUUGUGUAAUGUUACUUACUAUCAUUCCAGUAUUGAUGAAAAUAUUAUUGAAUGGUUUUAGCCUGCAAACUUCUGUUGACUCAUACUCUCAAGAGUGGUGGGGCUGUGAAAAUGAAGAAAAUGUACCUCAAACACAGUGCAAACACUCAGAUGAGUCAGCUCUCUUCAGGAUGCGCAUUUAUUUCUCCCUUUGGAGGAGGCCUCAGUCCAGCUCAGCCAAGGACUGAAAGGCACAUCUGGCUAAUUCAAGACUGAGAAAGGCUUUUACAUCAAAUAUUGAUAAUGAUAAUAAUAAUGAACACAUGUUGAGCACUUACCAUGUCUCAAGCACUGCUCUAGAGCUUCCCAUGAAAGAACCCCUCUAAUCUUCAGAACAACCCUGUGAGAACUGGCUGAAGUUUACUUUUUGGUUCUCCAGAGACCUAGCUUCUUCCAAUGUGGUCUAUUUAAUCUCCUGUCAUGUGGGAAAUUAUAUUCAAAAUCUCCAUGAUCCUCUGUCCAUAGUAAGUUAUGCAUGUAGUGAGAAGUACAUGCCACAAGGUCUUGAGAUUAUAUCUGCAAUGUGUUGCUGCUGGCUGUUGAUCAAGAUAGGCUGGGAGAAGAUCAUUUUCAGGUGUGAAAAACUGUCACCUUUAUCAAAUAAUUCUUCUUGCAUAUUUCCCAAGACGUUGUAGCCUGUCUAAACUUGGGAGGUUAAUUUUGUAGCAUUCAUUAUGACCGAAAAUGUAGUUCACACAAUCAUGAUGCUCUCUUUAUUAGGUGUUACUGUUAAACAAUAUUAAAAUACA